rnacentral:rRNA from 1 species
UACAGAGGGGCAAGCGUUGUUCGGAAUUACUGGGCGUAAAGGGCGCGUAGGCGGCCUUCUAAGUCGAACGUGAAAUCCCCCGGGCUCAACCCGGGAACUGCGUCCGAUACUGGAAGGCUUGAAUCCGGGAGAGGGAUAGCGGAAUUCCAGGUGUAGCGGUGAAAUGCGUAGAUAUCUGGAGGAACACCGGUGGCGAAGGCGGCAUCCUGGACCGGCAUUGACGCUGAGACGCGAAAGCGUGGGGAGCAAACAGG